rnacentral:lncRNA from 1 species
AAAUAUGAAAACAUGGCAAACGGUUUCAUUUCCCCCAAAAUUCUUGCUCUUUCUUGAGCUACCAAUCUGUCACCUCCUUCCAUCAAUAACAACCACCACUCGCCACCGAACCCACACACCACCGACACCUCUUCACCUCCCUCUACAACCUUUGACCAUUGCCUGCCCACCAGACCGUCGGAAACAACACCAACCGCAUCCAAAACCGUGAGUGCAGUCAUGAUUUUUUUCCCAAUUACUUCCACAUCCGGCCACCCUCUCGAUCAUGGAGCACCACCACAACAUUCCUGUCAACCAGGUGCAUAUAGUUCUACCAUGGGUCACCCUCAAUUUCGUCCAUACUCGAAUGAGCUUGUUGGAGCAUUCCUUGAGAUUUGUGAAAAUUUGUCUUUCAAUUUCACCUUUUCUUUUAUAGAUUGAUUUGGCAAGUAUCUUAUGUUGAAUUUAAAAAUUUCUUAACGAGUUUUGCUUUCGCAAUGGCAUCUCCCCAAAUGGCAGAGGACUUCAGGAAGAUGAUUUGGAUCAUUCUACAGAUGAAGCUCUUCUACGAUAGAAAUUGGUAAAGAUGUUUUACUAUGCCUCGUCUGCAUUUUUUUAUUGAAGUAAUAAUUGUUAAACUUGUCUAUAUCCUUAAAUAGAUGAUUUCCCCUUGAUUAAACACUAUCUGUGUUGUGUAAUUUAGAUUGAAAUACACUGAAGUUUCCUUUUCACAAUCUCUUGUCAGUUCUUAUAUCACUGAUUGCUACCUUAAACAUGUUGUGUAGGUAUAACAUAGGAAUAAAACUAGCUUACCAAAUUUUUGUGAACAUAUUGAUCUCUUUUAUUUUAGGAUAUGAGAUUUCUCUCUCCUAUUUUCAACCACACAAUCUUCAAUAAAAUAAUAUUACAUGUAAAUCGAAAUCUUUUCUUUCUUUUUUAACCACUCAUUUUUUCAAAAAAUAUUAUUUCACCCAUUUUCAUUUCUAGAAAAUGGGGGCCAAACGGGGGCUAAUGUUGGUAUUCAAAAUUCUCCAAGGCAAGAGGUAAGUAAUAAUAUUGCUGCCAUAUGCCCCUAUAAAUUCGAUUUGUACCAAAGCUGAAAAUAGUCCAAACUGUACAUCCAAGAGUCAAUGAAAUUUAAGAGUUAAAUAGAUCCGGUUCUGAUUUCCCUACCAGAAGGUUAAUAGGUUAUUCAUUUUUAAUUCUUUCCAAAAAAAUUUAUUUUUCCAUGCAGAUAUUGCAUCUUGAAAAAAGAUUACAAAACCAAUUUUCCAUUCACUGUGCUUUGGAAAAAGCAUUAGGUUGCAGGGUAUCCUGCCACGAUAUAACAUAUGAAAUUGCAAUGCCUAAGGUAGCAAUCUUUGGUCUUUAUAUGAUCAAAAUUUAAGAGUGGGUAAUAGAAAAAGACAUCUCUUUCAGAUUUCACCUGGUGCCUUAGCUGAGAUAGCAUCUAUUGAUAGUAUUGCUUGUUGCUAAUUAGCAAUCUAAAACAUUUGGUUGCAAAAUGCGAGUAGAUAGCUUGGUAAAGACUUCAGGAAGCACACGAGGAUCUAUUGCUGAUUCAGAAUGUGAGAUAGAGGGUGCUGUUGGAAAUUAAUUUGUUGUUCAAAAUCGAAGAAAAAAAGGGUAUCAAAACUAACCGUUAUGUUAGUUUUUUGACAUUUUUUAUUUGAGAUUGGUAGCUUUUCAUCCUUGUUUUGCACCAUUUUGUGAAAAACUUGUCAAUGCCUAUAAAUAGGUGAUUCAAGUGCAAGAAAGAUAUAUUGAGUUCCAUUAAAAUUUAUCCCCAAGUUAUACUUCCAAUAUUGAGAAAAUUAAUCACAUAAUCCUUCAUUUUUCACUUGUUCAUUGUGAAGAAACACCUUUGCUUUUUGGUGUUCUUCUUGUCAAGACUUGUUUAAUCCUACAAACUAUUUGUUGAAAUCCUUAAAAAGCAUUGGAAAUGAGGCAAAUAAUGUUUGAGGACAGCGAGAUUGAUUUCGUGUUCAAGCCUACAUUGAUAUACUUUUAUAAUUUUUCUUCUCCAUUGCCAUUAUUUUUUCAACAAUCUCAAACGUUAUUGUUACUAUUAUUGCAAUGGAGACAGAAUCUACACUUGCUACUAUCAAAAUGAUAAUUUAAGAUCUAGUACGCUUGGAUAGAUUCGAUGGUGCAAAUUUCACAAGAUGGCAAGACAAACUUAAAUUUCUAUUAACAGCUUUGAAGAUCUUCUACGUGCUUGAUCCAAAACUAGAGCCCAUUCCCAAUGCAACUGACAAGGAUAUUGAAGGAAUUCGCGUAGAAAGGAAGAAAUGAAAGAGGACAAAUUGAUAGGUCAUGACCAUAUCCUAAAUGCAUUAUCUGAUCGCCUCUAUGAUCUCUACACUAACACUACACCGACAAAAGAAAUCUGGUACGCGCUAGAAAGCAAAUACGAAGCCGAGGAGGAAGGUACCAAAAAGUUCUUAAUAUUUAAGUAUUUUGAUUUCAAAUUUUUGGAUAAUAUACCAUUAUUGCCUCAAGUGCAUGAGUUGCAAAUAAUUGUAAACAAACUGAAAGCGGUGAAAAUCGAACUUCCCGAAACAUUCUAAGUGAAUUCUAAGUGAGAGCAAUUAUUGCUAAACUUCUUGAUUCUUGGAAAAGGAUAAGGAAGAAGAUUAUUCACAAUUUCGAAGAUUUUUCUUUGAAAGAUAUACAAAAAUAUCUUUGUAUUGAGGAAGAAUCAAGCACAAGAGAUAAGAUUGAAAAUUCUUAUGAUGGCUCUUUAAAGGCCAAUGCCAUGGACAAUGUGAACAACUCCAACAAAUUUAAAAAGAAAGGAAAAUUUCUUGGUCCUAGAAAGGAUCAAGGAAAAUUAAAAAACAAAGCCAAAGGAUCUUGCUAUAUUUGUGGAAAAUCAGGACACUAUGCCAAGGAUUGUAGACAUAGGAAACAAUAAAAGAAAGAAGGACAAGUGAACUCCGUUGAUGAGAUUAUCGCCACGAUGAGCGAAAUCAAUGCAAUCUAAGGCAAAGUUCCGGGCUGGUGGUACGAUACAUGCGCUACAAUCCAUGUAUGUUAUGAUAAGUCUCUCUUCAAAACUUAUCAUGACAUUGAAGACAAUCAAGAAAUACAAAUGGAAAACGAAGGAAGAUCAAAAGUGAUUGGUAAAGGAAAUGUGAAACUCAUUUUCUCUUCGGGAAAGAAAAUCACUUUGACAAAUGUCUUGCAUGUACCGGAAAUGAAUAGAAACUUAGCAAGUGGUGUACUAUUGGGAAAACUUGGAAUUAAAUCUGUUUUUGAAUCUGGAAAGCUUGUAUUAACCCAUAAUGGGCACUUUGUUGGAAAGAGCUAUUCCACGAAGGAAUGGUCAAACUAUAUACUAUUAAGGAUAACUCAAUAAAGUUAAAUCUUUUGCGUAUGUUACUGAUUUAUUUAAUUUAUGGCAUUAUAGAUUAGCACAUAUAAGAGUUAAUACUAUGAAAAGAAUGAUUAAAUGUGGAUUAAUACAAUGUGAUAUUGACAACUUCGAAAAAUGUGAAACAUGUGUUAAAUCAAAAAUAAUUAAAAAGCCAUUUCAUAGCGUAGUAAGAACAACAAGAUUACUUGAUCUUGUUCAUUUCGACAUAUGUGAAUUGAAUGGAAUGUUAACUAGACGCAGUAAUAGGUAUUUUAUUAUUUUUAUUGAUGAUUUUUCUAGAUAUACCUGUGUACUUAUUAAAACAUAAGGAUGAAACCUUUAGUGCCUUUAAGACUUAUAAGAUUGAAGUUGAAAAUUAAUUAGGAAGGAAAUUAAAGAUUUUAAGAAGUGAUAGAGGCGAGGAAUAUUUUUCUUAUGAAUUUAACAUGUUUUGUGAACAAAAUGGAAUAAUACAUCAAACUUUUACAUCUAGAACACAGGAACAAAAUGGAUUAGUAGAAAGAAAGAAUAAAACUCUUUUAGAAAUGAUAAAUGCAAUGUUGUUAAAUUCUAAAUUACCCCUUAACCUUUGGGGUGAAGCCUUACUUAGUAUUUGCCAUAUAACAAAUAGGAUUCCUAUAAAAAGGAAUAAAAUUUCUCCAUAUGAAAUUUGAAAAAAUAGAAAACCAAAUAUCAGUUAUUUUAAAGUGUGGGGGCUACAUUGCCUAUUGUAAGAAUAUGGAUCCUAAGAGAAUCAAGUUAGGUCCUAGAGAUAUCAAAUGUACUUUUGUAGGAUAUGCUCUCAAAAGCAAAGCCUGUAAAUUAUUAAAUCUAGAAACGGAUGUCAUAAUAGAAUCAAAAGAUGUGAAAUUCUUCGAGGAUAUAAUGGUGGCUAGGAAAUAUGAAAAUAAUAAUAAUGAUAUUUUAAUCUUUAGAGGUCACCGGUAGAGACAUCUAUAAAAAGAUGUUGAAAUUGAACCUCGAAGAAGUAAAAGAGUUAGAAAAGAAAAGAAUUUAGGAUCAGAUGAAAUAGAUCCCCAACUUAUUUCUUUUUACUUAGUAGAAGAAGAGGUGAAGGAUGUUGUAAGAACAAUUCUCUUUGUUCUUCAAGUGGAAAGUGAUCCUAAAACUUAUAAGGAAGCGGUACAGUCUAAAGAUUGUAUGUUCUGGAAAGAAUCCAUAAACAACGAAAUGAAUUCUAUUAUUUCAAAUAACAUUUGGGAAAUAGUUGACUUGUCAGCAUAAUCUAAGGCUAUUGGUUGUAAAAGGGUGUUUAGGAAGAAAUACAAUUCCGAUGAAUCUCUUAAUACCUACAAGGCUAGAUUAGUGGCUAAACGGUAUCGUCAAAGAGAAGGAAUUGAUUACUUUAACACAUAUGCAACCGUAGUUAAGAUAACCUCGAUUAGGAUCUUAUUUGUGUUAGCAUCCAUUUAUAAUCUACAUGUUCAUCAAAUGGACAUCAAGACGACGUUCCUAAAUGGAGAUCUCGAAGAAGAGGUUUAUAUGGAACAACCAGAAGGGUUCGUUCUACCAAGAAAUGAACAUAAAGUGUGCAAAUUAAUUAAAUCUUUAUAUGCACUAAAGCAAGCUCCCGAAAAGUGGCAUGAGAAAUUUGACUCUAAAAUAAUGUCAAAUGAAUUUAAUCACAAUUCGAUAGAUAAAUGCCUCUACACAAAAGUGAAUGAUAAUAUAUUCACGUUAGUAUGUCUAUAUGUUGAUGAUAUGCUAAUCAUUAGCAAUAAUAUAGACAGGAUCAAAGAAACAAAAUUGUUUCUAUCCUCUACUUUCAAAAUGAAGGAUCUUGGAGAAGUUGAUAUUAUCCUUGGUAUCAAAGUUAAAAAUGAUAGUGGGGGUUUUAUAUUAAGCCAAUCACAAUAUGUUGAGAGUGUGAUAGACAAGUUCAAACAUUUGAAUAUUAAGAAGGCUAACACUCCUAUAGAUCCAAAUAUUAAAUUAAUAAAAAAUGAAGAUAGAGCAAUUGCACAAAUAGAAUACACAAGUGUAAUUGGAAGUCUUAUGUACGCAUCACAAUGUACAAGACCUGAUGUAGCAUUUGCUGUAAGUAAAUUAAGUAGGUUUACUAGCAAUCCAAGUUCAGAACAUUGGAAGGCCAUCGGUAGGGUUCUUGGUUACCUAAAGAAAACCAAAAAUCUUGGGCUAUAAUAUACGAAAUUUCCUAAAAUCUUGGAAUGAUAUAUUGACGCAAGUUGGAUAUCGAGUGCAGAAGAGAAUAAAUCUACUUCAAGUUGGAUAUUCACUCUUGGAAGAGAUGCGGUUUCUUGAAAGUCUAAAAAACAAACUUGUAUUACUCAUUCAACUAUGGAAUUGGAGUUUGUAGCAUUAGCCGAAACCGGGAAAGAAGCUGAGUGGCUAAAAGAUUUAUUAUAUGAAAUACCUUUAGAUAUAAAUGAUAUUUCUUCUGUACCUAUCUUGUGCGAUAGUCAAGCCACUCUAGCUCGAGCAUAUAACAAAGUAUACAAUGGAAAGUCUAGACUCAUGAGUCUAAGACACGAGUAUGUAAGAAAAUUAAUCAAGCAUGGGGUAAAUUCUCUUAUAUUUAUUAAGUCUAGUGAAAACUUAGCCGAUCCAUUUACAAAAUCUCUCAUAAAAGAGUUAGUGAGAUCAACAUCAAGUAAAAUGGGAUUAAUACUCCUCAAAUAGAUCCACCAAUAACUGCAACGUCACCAAAAUAUAAUAAACUAGUAUAUAUAUAGGUUCAAGAGGUAACAACAAGUUAUUUGAUAAGUGGAUGAAUUCAACACUAUUUAAUAUAUCUAAUACUAUCUUUGGAAAAUAGUGUUCGUUGUUACUGUUGGAGGGAUGAGUUAAAAUAAAUUCUUAUUGAAGUUCAUUAAGGAGUACAAAUAUCUGUAAAAGUAACAAAGAUACUGGAAGAACUUCACCUAUGUGAACUUUGAGGUGGUGCCGCCUCAUUAGAGAGUUGAAGUUUUCUCUCUUUAAAAGUUCAAUGAAAUAGGAUUAGUGCAAGACCAUAUUAGCACUAAGCGAGUUAGAGGAAUUAGUGAAAAGCUUAAUACUUGUGUGUGUGAUUUCGUCGAUAUUGUUACAAAGAAUAACUGGUUCAAGGCACACUAACCACCUGGAAUUCUGAUAAUACUUUAUGAGAUUUACACUAUGAAUAGAUUCAAAUCAAUAGAUAUCUAAUUCUUAUGCAUAAGUGUUGAUAUUUGAUUAUGUGAUUAAAGCUGAUUUUGAAUAAGUGGGGGAUUGUUAGAAAUUUAUUUGUUGUUCAAAAUCGAAGAAAAAAAGAGGGCUUAACCAUGCGACCACAUAGAUUAAACUCAUGCGAUCGCAUGAGGCUCUCCAAGAAUGGGAGGGCUGGCAAAGCUAUAACCAUGUGACCACAUGGCUAUGGCUAUAGCCCAUGCAGUCACAUGGUUAUCAAAAAUAACCGUUAUGUUAGUUUUUUGACUGUUUUUUAUUUGAAAUUGGUGGCUUUUCAUCCUUGUUUUGCACCAUUUCGUGAAAAACUUGUCAAAACCUAUAAAUAGGUGAUCCAAGUGCAAAAAAGAUAUAUUGAGUUUCAUUAAAAUUUAUCCCCAAGUUAUACUUUGAAUAUUGAGAAAAUUAAUCACAUAAUAUUUCAUUUUUUACUUGUUCAUUGUGAAGAAACACAUUUGCUUUUUGGUGUUCUUCUUGUCAAUGCUUGUUUAAUUCUACAAACUAUUUGUCGAAAAUCCUUAAAAAGCAUUGGAAAUGAAGCAAAUAACGUUUGAGAACAAUGAGAUUGAUUGUGUUCAAGCCUACAUUGAUAUACUUUUAUAAUUUUUCUUCUCCAUUGCCAUUAUUUUUUCAACAGGUGCAGAUGAAGGUUGUGAUUCAAACUUUUAACAUAUUUGCUUUCUGCUUUUGUUAUAGCUCUUCUCUUUGUUUGUUAUGGUUUUGCGUUUGCAAACUUAGUGUGAGUUUAUGUUCUUAGUGGCUCAAUUUAUUUUUCUAGAAUGUAUAAGGCCAUGUAGAUGUUUCCAAAAUCCUAUAAUUGCGGUUUGAGUUUCUCGUAUAUGUGAAAAUAGUGCAACUGUCAUUUAAACAAGGUUAACCUAUGAAACUCGUGUUUUACAUAGACAGAGUUUUAUCCAAAUCUAUUUUGUGGCUAGUAAAAUAGCUGCUUGGAUUGUGUCAAACCUCUAAUUAUGUUAUUUUUUCCUUCUUGGAACCUUAUUGGACUUCUUUGGAUUGGUUGGGGAUUGACAUUUUGUUUGACUUUCUUAACUCCCUUGAGAAAUGGGUAGGAAUGUUACAAAACUAAGAUCAUGGAUCUGUUAUAGUCCAAUCCGGUGAGAUGUUUCAAGGUCUGUUGGUUGAAAAUGACAAGAUAUUUUAGGUGAGUUGAAAAGUGACGUAUUAGGUGGGUUUCCAAUCCCAUUCCUUUGAAGUAUGACAUCAAGUGUUAGGUUGUGCCCUAUUAACCUUUUCUGGGAAUUACACAGGUGGUUAGAUUGGGAUCAUAUAAAGGUCCAAUGCAACUCUAUAGAGGGAACAUAAAGAAUUUCUUGUUAUACUUCUUGCUCCUGAGCUGCGAAUUUGCAUGGGAUUGCUGAUGGGGCUACCACCACGGCUAUGAUCAAGUCAAGGCUGAGACAUGCUAAACUUUGCAUGGUAGAAUUGAACUCCACUUCCAUUGGUAAAUGAGUUUGCUCGAGAGCUGCUGAAUUACAAAUAAUUUUGGGGCUACCACCACGGCUAUGAUCAAGUCAAGGCUGAGACAUGCUAAACUUUGCAUGGAAGAAUUGAACUCCACUUCCAUUGGUAAAUGAGUCUGCUCGAGCGCUGCUGAAUUACAAAUAAUUUGUAUAGGUUUUUAAUAUGGAUAUUCUUGAUUGCAAAAGGAGAUAAGGAAGAAAUAAAGAAAUGAAUAUUACAUUUUAAUGGAGAUAUUCGAGUGAUUAAAAUAAGGUUGAAGUAUUG